CGGCCGAAUACAGCAAAAUAGAUUUGAAUUCAUGUGUGCCAAAACAAAUUGACGUCUAAAAAAACAAAGAACGUCGUUUUGACAGACAACAAACAACAAUAAAAGUUUCAAAAAUUUUGAAAUAAAUUAGUAAUGAAAAAUAAACAAAGCCUGCAAAACUGUGUCCUUAUCCGGGUAUCCUUUUUCAAUGGUUCACGUGUCGUUGAGUAUUUAAACUGUUUCUGAUUAUGGAGUUAAAAAAUGCUGGAAAAAACUGUAAUGAAUGCAGGCAUUCAUUCAAGGCAUGCGAGUGUAAGUUCUGUUCAAAAUGUGGUACACCUUUUAUGAAGUAUUUUGGUACUAGCAUUAUCAAGGGAAGGUCACACUGCCGAUCAUGUUUAUCAGCAGCUUGUAUAGCAUGCAUAAUGAUUCUUGAUGACCAUGAAAAGGUUUGCACAAGAUGCCACAUAAAACAAUGUGAGGCAGAAAUUAAAACUGAAAAAGCUUUGUUAGCUAUAUGUGAAGAAAAGUUUGGUGAAGUUCAAAGUAACUUAUCAGUUAUAAAUGGCUUGAAAACAAAUAAGCAGAAAGUUGAUGCUAUAUUUGAUGCUGUGAAAAGAGGGCAAGAUUGUUUGGUAAUAACAUUGAUCAACCUGGGUUGUGAUGUUAAUACUGUUGAUUCCAAUAAAAAUACUUUAUUGCAUUAUGCUUGUGAAGGUGGAUACUUGGCUUGUGCAGCUUUGUUACUAGAAAAAGGCGUUGAUAUAAAUGCAGUUAAUGAUAAGGGUUGGUCUGCUCUUCAUUCAGCUGUUUCCAAAGCUGAAACAGAUAAACAUGUUGAAUCUAUUGAAUUUUUAUUAGAAAUGGGUGCUGAUGUGUUGUUGGAAAAUCAUAAAAAUGAAACAGCAACUGACCUAGCUAAACGCUGUGCUGUAAAUAAGAAGGUCAUUCAAAUUUUGGUAGCUGCGGAAAUUGAAGCUGCUGCUCUGGAAUUGGACUCAAAGAUCAAACUUAUUGAAUGCAAUAACCCAUCUCCAAAGGAAAGACGUUUGUUUCGUCUCAUAACAACAAUAAUUAACUACUUGAAAGAUCAACAUUGCAAUAAAAUUGAAGUUAAACAUAAAAUGAGUCGCUGUGAAGUAAGAAAAAGUGUUUCUGAAACUAAUCUCCAGUCAUGUGUUAGUCCUGAAACAACAAACGAACUACUUAGAAACAAUACAUUUUCAAGUUCUAAACUUUUUAAGCAAAAAUCAAAAUCAUUCCUGCAGAUAUUAAAUGAAAAAAGUGAGUGGGAGACACGAACACGAAAUCUAAUGCAAACAAUAGCAUUUUCAAAUACUGAACAUCAAAAAGAAAUUGCUUUAUUAAAAAAUGAAAUUCACACCAUUAAUGAAGAAAAUGCAAAGAAAGCAGCUAAAGUUGAAUUACUUUUUGCAGAAAAAAUGUCCAAACUUAAACAAGACUUAUUAAUGAAACUACCUUAAAUAAAUUAUUUCAUCUUCAACAGCAAAACUAUGCCAAGUACUUGUUUUGUUAACGGUUGCUCAAGUAGAGCUGACCGUGAAAAGAUGUCUUUCCAUAGCUUCCCCGCUAUUAUAAAACAUCAAGAUAAUAAAACGCUAGAGUUGUCAGCUAAGAGGCGCUGCGAGUGGAUUGCAGCAGUUAAUAGACAAAAAAAAACUAACCAAGUUCUUGAAAAUAUGCUCUGCUCACUUUAAUUCGGGUAAACCAGCUGCAUUAUAUGGCGUCACCAGUCUGGGUUCCUAGUUUAUUAUUGUCUGCAUCAGAAAGGCAACCACAAGAUAAAGAGACAGACACCUCCACUCUCCACAGAACUUUAAAAGUUGCAAGAUAUUCUCGUGCGCAAAUUAGAGCUGAAAAAAAGACCAUGUAUACUGCCGCAGAGGAUUUGCUACAUUUUGCAGAAGGAGCUGCUAGUGAAACAGUUAGCGAAGUUUCAAUCAGCGAUUUUAUUGCAAAACGUAAAAUAUGCACUUUUUUGUUGAAAGGUCCUGUUGAUAAAAAGCAAAGUAAUGAAGUCGAAUUCCUGACGAUUGAUGAUAGUCUCUCAGCGCAAAAUAAUGAAAUUGAAUUCCUGAUGCAAGAUUAUAGACGAGUUCUAAGUGAGAACAUUAAGUUAAAGGAGAAGCUCCUCUCGUUUGAAGUAACAGUUGAGUCAUUUACCAAUGAUGAUAAAGUCCUUUAUUACACAGGCUUGCACUGUCGUAAAGUGCUAUUAGCUGCUUUCCAGCAUGUCGAAGCAUAUAUUUCGUUAACAGCGCAUUCGCGACUAUCUAAGUUCGAAAAAUUGAUUCUUACGCUAAUGAAGCUUCGUCUUGGAACCCCAAUACAAGACUUAGCAUUUCGAUUUGACAUUUCCUAUUCCGUUGCUUCAAAAACUUUCAAGAAUAUUUUGCACAUACUAUAUGUUCGUAUGAAACCUCUGAUUUACUGGCCAGAAAGAAAAGAAUUACAACAAUCUAUGCCAUUAUCGUACAGACAACACUUUGGGCUUAAGAUAGCUGUCAUCAUAGACUGUUUUGAAAUUUUUAUUGAAAGACCCUCGAAUCUUAUGGCUAGAGUGCAGACAUGGAGCAACUAUAAAAGUCAUAACACCGUAAAAUAUUUGAUUAACAUUGUUCCACAAGGCGUUAUUUCUUUCAUUUCCCAAGGAUGGGGUGGGAGAACUAGCGACAAGCUUAUCACCGAACAAUGUGGACUCCUUGAGAAGCUCAA